rnacentral:rRNA from 1 species
GACGGAGGAUGCAAGUGUUAUCCGGAAUCACUGGGCGUAAAGCGUCUGUAGGGUGGUCAAAUAAGUCAACUGUUAAAUCUUGAGGCUCAACCUCAAAAUCGCAGUCGAAACUAUUCGACUAGAGUAUAGUAGGGGUAAAGGGAAUUUCCAGUGGAGCGGUGAAAUGCGUAGAGAUUGGAAAGAACACCGAUGGCGAAGGCACUUUACUGGGCUAUUACUAACACUGAGAGACGAAAGCUAGGGUAGCAAAUGGG